CUGCACGCAGUGGCUGCGAUGGAGGCAGGGAGGCCCCCCUGUGCUUGAGGGUGGCCUCGCCAUCAAGGCUGGGGCCUCCGUGCCUCCUGCCUUGCUUGUCCCCCUCAGCCACAGCUUGGCCGCUUCUAGGAGAUGGUGCCGUCUCUCCCACCAGCAGGCUCUCCCCCGGGAGCCUGCUCAGACCUGCCUUCCUCACAAAGCUCGGUAGCAACUCCCUGGGGCAGAAAAUGUCUCUUCUGAAAGCAAGACAAGAGUUUAAUUAAGCCCUAAACGCACACAGUUGAGCCUGAAAUUAGGGUGGUGAUGGGAGGGGGAGAAGGCAAUCGAGGACGGUGGGUAGCGGGGUGGGCUUCAACGCACUUCUGGCCCAGCUGAGCCAAACAAGCCUACAAGCAAACAUUUACAGAGCCUGUGGGCGUGGCUACAAAGCCUCUCUGACCUGGAGAGGGGAGAAUGCCACGUUUCCUGUCCUGUUUGGGCUCUCCCCAGGUUGUUGCUCAGACAGUCAAACCACAGCCUCCUCCUCUACCUGGCAAUUAAUCCUGCUGUGCCCUGCAACCUGGGUUGGGUCUUACUCUGCCAGGGACUGAAGCAAGAAGAGACGGGCCGCCGGGCGUGUUAUCGCUUGUCUCUGGGGCAGAGAAGCGGUUGCAACAGAGCCCCUGCGUGCGUGUGGACGUGCCUGCGUGGAGCAGUGAGGGAACAGGCUGUCCUCGGGGGGCGCCCUGUCCCCCUUCCCUGUGUGUGUGGCAGGCAACCCAAGGGCAGACCCCACUUGAUGGACACAGAAGCUGCUCUCACAGAAGCCAACCCCCCACCCCCCUGGACAGGGAGUCCCUGUGGCCUGACAGUUUCAUCUGCAGAUACAAGUUCACCAUGCUCUCAGACACAGCUCCGGGUUACUUGCUGCUAAGUCACUUCAGUCGUGUCCGACUCUGUGGGACCCCAGGCUCCGCCGUCCCUGGGAUUCUCCAGGCAAGAAUACUGGAAUGAGCACACCAAGACAGAGGUUCAGUAUCUUGCCGAAAGUUGAGAGGAGAAGCUACGAAUAAGACCAGCUCUGGCUCCCAAUCCACCCCACAGCUUUUGAUGGUACUCAGUGGUACACCCUUGGACCCCGAUGGUGUGGGCAGUUCUCCCACAGGUCUGGCCCGAGUCUCUCCUACUCUCGUCUGAAUUGGAUCAGAUGGAAGGACCAUGUCAGUAGGUCGGUUCUGCUCCCAACCCAGCCUCAAGAGACAUCACCCAUCCCUUGGUACAGGUGGUAGCCUUCCAGUUACUGGGGUGGGGAUGUUUGCCUUCUGUUAAUGAAAAGAAAUAGAUGUGAUAAUAAAUAAAUGCCCAACCCAGUGCAGCAAUCGAUGUCCCUA
ensembl:lncRNA